CUAGCAGCCCUGUGCUCCUGCAUCCUGCUCUGCUCGGCUGAGCUGGGAAGCUCAGCAGGGUCAGGCCUGGUCAGUGCUUGGAUGGGAGACCGCCUGGGAAUACCGGGUGCUUGCUCCC
rnacentral:rRNA from 1 species